AGCCCGCAAUUGCUUCUCGCCUCUGCAGAGCAGCUGGGCAAUUGUAAAGAACCAGCAGCCAGUUCUGUUACUCAUUAAACAGCCCCUACUACAGAGGAAAUCUUCUUACCCACGUGGUCCUAACCUGGGGCGGAGGAAACCGGGCUAGAAGCGGCUCUAGGACUAACCCAAGGUCACGCCGCCAGGCAGGAUCCCCGGUCUGUCUGUCUGGCGGUGGCCCCGCGGCUGGGGCCAGCGGAGAGAAAUGACAGCGUGGAACCAGCCCUGGCCCGGUGGUCGGGAAUGUGGAGCUGGCACUGUCACUGUGUGUACCCUGGAUCUCUCUGGACGGCCUCGGCUUCCCCCCUGGGGAGUUUCUCUGGGACCUUCCUGAUCCUGGGAGUUCCCGCUUGCUGGGGCAAAGCCAGGAGCUCGCCCGAGGAGGGGAAGUGACUCAUUCACUUCGAGUCGCAGCUAAGUGGCCGAACUGCCUCAAACCGGCGCUGCACUCUGACCCCCAGGGGCCGGACCUGCCUGCCCCCGGCCGGUGCCCACUCUCCGUCUCAGGCGUCUUUCCUGGUCCUCUCCCUGCUUCCCGAACGCGCACUCUGGUGAGAGCACAGAGCCUGGGAAAGAAGACGACCUAGAGGCCCGGGCAGCCCAGCACCUCUGUUACUUGCUUCCUAAAGGGAACUCCAGUUCCUGAGAAAACAUGGGGUUGGGCCGGGAGUGGUGGCUCACGCCUGUAAUCCCAGCACUUUGGAAGGCCGAGGCGGAUGGAUCACCUGAGGUCAGGAGUUCGAGACCAGCCUGCCCAACAUGGUGAAACCCCGUCACUACUAAAAAUACAAAAAAUUAGCUGGACGUGGUGUCGCGUGCCUGUAAUCCCAGGUACUAGGCAGGCCGAGGCAGGAGAAUUGCUUGAACCCAGCGAAGGAUGCAGUGAGCCGAGAUCGCGCCAUUGCACUCCAUACUGGGUGACAAGAGUGAAACACACAAACAAAUCAAGGAAGGAAUUAAGGGUUUUAUUGAAAAUGAAAGUACGGCCAGGCGCAGUGGCUCACACCUGUAAUCCCAGCACUUUGGGAGGCCGAGGCGGGUGGAUUACAAAGUCAGGAGUUCAAGACCAGCCUAACCAAGAUGGUGAAACCCCGUCUCUACUAAAAGUAAAAAAAAAAAAAAAACAAAAAAAAAAACCUAGCCGGUCACAGUGGCAGGUGCCUGUAAUUCCAGCUACUUGGGAGGCUGAGGCAGGAGAACCACUUGAACCUGGGUGGCAGAGGUUGCAGUGAGCUGAGAUCAUGCCACUGCAUUCCAGCCUUGGUGACACAGUGAGACGCCAUCUCAAAAAAAAAAGGUAAAUGAAAGUACACUCCACAGUGUGGGAGCGGGCCUGAGCGUAGGGGCUCAAAGGCCCCAUUCCAGAAUUUUGGGGAGUUUCAAUGUCCUCCGCUUGGGGCACACACUAUGUAAAUGAAAGGGAUGAUGCAAAGUUACAAAGUCAUUUACUUGGCCUACGCAGAGGCUAUUUCCUGUCAUAGCUAAAGUGUGAAUCGGCCUUAUGUUCCCUGCCUCCAGACCCUAUUUUGCUGCCUCAGACUGAAGACUGAAACUGGCCUGGUUAGGAAGUUGCUAUUCUCUCUCUCUGAAGGUAGAUUAACAACUUAGUUUUAGUUUUGUUACCGGAAAAGGGUCCCAAUCCAGACCCCAAGAGAAUGUUCUUGGAUCUUGUGCAAGAAAGAAUUCGGGGCCAGGGUGAGUCCACAGAGUAAAGUGAAAGAAGCAAGCUUAUUGAGAAAGUAAAGGAAUAAAAGAAUGGCAAUUCCAUGGGCAGGGCAGCCUCUAGGGCUGCUGGUUGGCUAUUUUUAUGGUUAUUUCUUGAUCAUAUACUAAAUAAGGGUGGAUUAUUCAUGAGUUUUCUAGGAAUUCUUCCUUUUAGAACAUAUAGGGUAACUUCUAAAUGUUGCCAUGGUAUUUAUAAACUGUCAUGGUGCUGGUAGGAGUGUCGUUUAGCAUGAGAAUGCAUUGUAAUUAGCGAAUAAUGAGCAAUGAGGAAGACCAGAGGUAGUUUUCCUCACCUUGCUGGUUUUUGGCAGGUUUUGGCCAGUUUUGGCUGGCUUCUUUACUGCAUCCUGUUUCAUCAGCAAGGUCUUUGUAACCUGUAUCUUGUGAUACCACCUGCCAACCUUCUAUUUCAUCCUGUGACUAAGGAUGCCUAACCUCCUGGGAAUGCACUCCAGCAGAUCUCAGCCUCAUUUUACCCAGCUCCUAUUCAAGAUGAAGAGUCUCUGAGUCGACUCCUGCUGACAUAUUUCCUGACUCUACAACCCUUAGGAUUAAGGGUUCCCUUGUAAAAGGGAAGGGGGAAUAACCAAAUAACUCACCCCUUUCUUGGAAAACUCAGGAAUAAUCCACCCCUUGCUUAGCACAUAUUCAAGAGUAAUCAUAAAAAAUACCCACCAGCAGCCCUUGGGGAUGCUCUGCCUAUGGAGUAGCCACUCUUUUAUUCCCUUCCUUUCUUAAUAAACUUCCUUUUACUGUUCUCUGUGGACUCACCCCAAAUUCUUUCUUGUAGGAGAUCCAAGAACUUUCUCUAGGGCUCAGGAUCAGGACGCCUUUCCAGUAAGUUUGGUGACCUGAAACGUUAGCAUGGGUGACUUUAUUUUUAUUUUUAGUCUUGUCUUUUGGGGCCUAGUGCAAGAGCUUAGUCUAAAACAAUGGCCUCCUAUAAUUUGUGUUUAACAUUUGUCAGGUUAAAACCUUGUCAGUGUGACAAACUGGAAACAAAAUUGUGUCGGGCCACUACUAAACCACACCCAAAAUACCUGUGUCAUCAAUGUUUGCAAGCAGAGAGCAAAUGCAGCCCACCAAUGGCCACCUAGAGCAGCAGCUGCUAGAGGCAGGAAAGUCUGGAAGAGACCCAGGGCUUGCAGGCUCAGCCAGGAUCCCCCUGCUCCUCAACAAGGUCUUUGGGCUCUUUCAGAGAUGCAGUUGGCCCUGAGCUCUGAGAGGUGGGGAGGGAAGGGGCUGAGAGGCUGAAGGCCAGGCCACACCAGAUAGUGACACACCACUGCCCUUCAGGUUUCCCAAAUCUAAGUAACUUCAAACUCUUUGAAAUUCUCCCAAAGCUAAUGUGUCUACCUAAAAGAAAGAUGAGACAAAAUUAACAUAGAGAGUUUAUUUGUGCCCAGGUUGAGGACUGUAGCCCAGGACACACUUCUAAGUUGCCAUGGGGAGUGCUCCAAGAACAAAAAGGAGGCUCAAGUUUUUAAAGAAAAAAGAACAACUCAGGAGAUGGGGCGAUUGCAGAGUUGUCAGGAAUCCUCAUUGGUUUACAGAAAUAACAUUGGUUAGUGAUUGCCCACACAGUGUUGAACUAUAGGGUGGAUGGCAUCUUAUGGCUAAUUGGCCUCAGUUAUUCUACAGCCACAUAGCAAGUGGCUUCAAGAGGUAACCACUUAGCUGAAGGGGAAGUGAGCCAUGACUGCUGUUCUGUUCUAAAUGUUCUCUGGGCCUGAUAAUUUAAAGGCUCACCUUCCUCAGGAAAAGAAAUGUGUUUGUUGUUUGUUUGUUUGUUUUCUUUCUCAGAUAAUAUUUUAGAGAUAGUAGCUGAGGCUUCUUCUCUGUUUGUCCUCACUUCCCAAUUCCUCAUGCAAUUGCUCUUUUCUUUCCAAUCCAGCAGCCAUACAGAUUUCUAGAACACCCCUCAGAGAGGGCAGAAAUUGAGCCGCAGUGUUUUCUAAACAGCUGCCUGGUCCAUUCGUGGGUCAUGAAACCCAUGUGGUGGGUCACAGCUAGCAUUUUCAUUGUCAGUGAGACAGAAUGGAGUGAAAAAGCCUCUGCCUGCUUUCCACACCAGAGCACGUACUUUUAUCACACGAACUAUGACUCAGACACCACAAACCCAGACCAGGCCUCCAGGUCAGAAGUUGACUCCCCUGAGGCCUGUGGUGAGACUACAGCAUGACUCAGACCCCUGAGAUUUCAAAUUCUUGCCAAAAUACAAAAAGUGAGAUUCUUCCCGCCAACUCUCACUCAUCAUAUAGAGCUACUCAGUCCCCUGACCCACCCCCAGCUCAGAUAGGCUCACAGUGGCAGGCCCACUCCCCUGGCAGCUGAGUCCAGUCUGAUGAGCCAUCACUUUCCCAGGUUGCUGGUCCUAGUAGUCAACAAAGAGAGUCAAACUCUGUAAAAUAUUUGAAGAGAUUUAUCCUAAGCCAAAUGUGAAUGACCAUGGCCCGUGACACAGCAAACGGCCCUCAGGAGGUUCUGAGGACACGUGCCCAAGGCGGUCAGGGUGCAGCUUGGUUUUAUAUGUUUUAGGAAUGCAUGAGACAGCAAUCAAAUACAUUUAAGAAAUACAUUGGUUUGGUCCAGAAAGGCAGGACAACUCAAAGCGGGGUAGGGGGCAGGGUUCAAGGCUAUAGGUAAAUUUAGACAUUUUCUGGUUUACAAUUGGUUGAGUUUGUCUAAAGACCUGGAUUGAUAGAAAGGAAAUGUCCAGGUUAAGAUAAAAGAUUGUGGAGACCCAGGGUAUUUGAAGUCUUAUAGUGGCUGCCCUUAGAGACAAUAGAUGACAAAUGUUUCCUAUUCAGAUCUUUAAUAAAAGGUGCUAGACACUUAGUUAAUCUCUUUUUUUUUUUUUUUUUUUUGAGAUGGAGUCUCACACUCUCACCCAGGCUGGAGUGCAGUGGCGCGAUCUCGGCUCACUGAAAGCUCCGCCUCCCAGGUUCAUGCCAUUCUCCUGCCUCAGCCUCCCGAGUAGCUGGGACUACAGGCGCCCGCCACCACACCCAGCUAAUUUUUGUAUUUUCAGUAGGGACAGGGUUUCACCAUGUUAGCCAGGAUGGUCUCGAUCUCCUGACCUUGUGAUCCACCUGCCUCGGCCUCCCAAAGUGCUGGGAUUGCAGGCGUGAGCCACCGUGCCCGGCCAGUUAAUCUCUUUAAAAUUGGGAGAGCCUGGAAGAAAAAGCUCUAGCUAUGUUAAUAGAGAUUUUUUACAGAUGCAAAUUUCCCCCACAAAGGACAGCUUUGCAGGGCCAUUUCAAGAUAUGGCAAAGAAACAUGUUUUGGGAUAAAAUAUUUUUAUUUUCUUCCCUGUCUCGUAAUGUUAUGCCAGAGUCAGGUUGGAAAGUAAGUCACGAUAUAUAGGGUUAAAUAAAACCCAUCUCAUGAGAAUUCAUUGUUUAUAGGGCAUGACUCCCCAGACCCCUUAGAUAAGAAUUGGCAAGAUAAAAAAAAACGUCAGAGCUUAGUCCUCACAGUCAAUGGCUAGCCUCCAAGGAAGUGGAGGAUUCCCACAGGAUUCCAGCUGCCCAGAGGCUUCACAGGCAUAUCCAUGUUUACAGAAAAGAUACAGGCCAUGAGAUAUUUAUACAAAACACUUAGGAGUCACAGCCAGCUACCCAACGGAUGCCAAUGGCUGACUGGUUCUUGCCCUCUCAGUCUUCACCUUUAGGAGAGGUGGUGCUGGCAGGAUGUGGUAUUUCUCAUUCAGGGCCUCUGGAACCAUCUAAUCUAGGAAACACCCUUGUCUCAUGCCUUGCUGCCACACAGCUCCAUUUGCUCUCCAGUUUUCCAAGAAGCCUUCUACCUGACUGGUUUUGCUCUAAACCACUAUCUCAGACUGAAAUUCUUCACAAAUUCCACCCAGGAAUAAUAAGGGUUCAUUUCUGAACUGGACUCAGCAUGCCAUAUGACCCAUGGAGAUAUUUUCCUCAUGAGAUUUGACACAGGGGUCAUUGGCCAUGCCGCACCCUAGCUGAUGACUGGGCAAGUUACCAAAAACCAUCUGAGCCAGCCUCCUCGUCUACGCAGGGGAAUAAUAUGGUUCUGCAGGAUGGUUGAGGUCAGGGAAAAAUGUAUUCAAAUUAGCAAAUUCUUGCCAAAAUACAAAAAGCGAGAUUCUUCCCACCAACUCUCACUCAUCAUAUAGAACUACUCAGUGCCCCAUGUAUACAAAUGUAACAAGCCUGCAUGUUGUGCACAUGUACCCUAAAACUUAAAGUAUCAUAGUAAUAAAAUUUAAAAAAAAAGAAGGCUUUUCUGGUUCAUUGUUCUGUUUGUUAUUCUGCUGCUUAUGUUUAGAAAACACGCAGAGAGCUAGGAUGAGGCAUUCUUGGAGCCACCUCGUUAGAAAAAUGAAGUCUGCUGCCUUGCUUUCACAAUGGCUGGUAAGAGUAUAGUUUUAAUCUAUCAUUGUUUCCUUAUGCUUGCUAUCUCACAUGCCAGGUAAAGCUAUUUGCUCCCUCGUCUCACUCUAUCCCAUUUGUACCCCUAGGUAGGAGAAUGUGGUCUGGAAAAUGAGGUGUCACUGGUGAUCAGACAUCAUCACUUUUCUAGUGACUGUCAGCUUAGUUUUGUCCUACAGUUGUCUUGAUUUCCAGCUAGGUAAUGAGUGUGACAUAUCUUUAAGGUUUGGGUGUGCCAAUGUACUGGAGACAGAAAAUUGACUCACUAAUUAAACCAUAGCCUGAAACUUGCAUGUUCAAUACAGGCCUGCAAUUUCCUUUACCUAGGCUUGGUCUCAGGUAUUCUUCAUAGUAAAGGUGAUAUUGCUAUUGUAUCACUAUGACUCAUGGUGUUAGGACACCAAAUUCCUCAUUACAUCUUUAUUUUAAACUUCUAAACUAGUAUAGCUCCUAGGAUUAAAAGGAUUGCAGAUUUUUAAUUUUUUUAAAAAAGAGGCAGUAUUUAGGUGUACCUGGUAGGGGAGAGAACAAGCAUAAGGAAAAAUGAAUAAAUUGGGGCUGUACUGUUACCAGCCAUUUUGAAGACAAGGUAAAGCUUUUUCAUUUUUCUGAUGAGGCAGCUCUGGGAAUGCAUUAUCUUGGUUCCCUGCAUGUUUUCUGGGCAUGGGAAGCAGCAUAACAAACAGAACAAAGGAGUAGAAAGCUUUCUAUUUCUUACCCCAUGCAAUUGUUUGAUUUUGAGAUUUGAGCUAGGUAUUUCAAGGACUGCCAUUAACCAGCUAUGUAACCUGGUGUUAACUGUUAAGUUUUACUCACUUCAAAUUUGCUUUUGUUUCUCCAAAACGUUUUGCGCAUUUAUAAGAUAAAUAAAAAUCAGCAUUUUUAGAAGGCAGCUAUGAUCACCACUCUACCACCAAUGCCACGAAAAUCUGUAUUCUUGAUUACCUGCUGGAAAUAAAAAUGUAAUUGCUAAAAUACUCAGUAUAAGUUAAGUGAUACAAGUAAAGAUCUAUCAUGUGUUAAGUUUCAAGUUUCACUUAAUGUUCUUAAUAAAAUAAUGGUAGUUUGAAUUCUCUACAAAUAUGUUCAGCCUAUAA
rnacentral:lncRNA from 1 species